GACGAACGCUGGCGGCGUGCUUAACACAUGCAAGUCGAACGGAAAGGCCCUGCUUUGGUGGGGUGCUCGAGGGGCGAACGGGUGAGUAACACGUGAGUAACCUGCCCUUGACUGUGGGAUAACUUCAGGAAACUGGGGCUAAUACCGGAUAGGAGCUCCUGCUGCGGGGUGGGGGGGGGAGAGUUUCGGCGGUGGGGGAUGGACUCGCGGCUUAUCAGCUUGUUGGUGGGGUAGUGGCUUACCAAGGCUUUGACGGGUAGCCGGCCUGAGAGGGUGACCGGCCACAUUGGGACUGAGAUACGGCCCAGACUCCUACGGGAGGCAGCAGUGGGGAAUAUUGCACAAUGGGCGGAAGCCUGAUGCAGCAACGCCGCGUGCGGGAUGACGGCCUUCGGGUUGUAAACCGCUUUCGCCUGUGACGAAGCGUGAGUGACGGUAAUGGGUAAAGAAGCACCGGCUAACUACGUG
rnacentral:rRNA from 1 species